rnacentral:rRNA from 1 species
GGUUAAGCGACUAAGCGUACACGGUGGAUGCCCUGGCAGUCAGAGGCGAUGAAGGACGUGCUAAUCUGCGAUAAGCGUCGGUAAGGUGAUAUGAACCGUUAUAACCGGCGAUUUCCGAAUGGGGAAACCCAGUGUGUUUCGACACACUAUCAUUAACUGAAUCCAUAGGUUAAUGAGGCGAACCGGGGGAACUGAAACAUCUAAGUACCCCGAGGAAAAGAAAUCAACCGAGAUUCCCCCAGUAGCGGCGAGCGAACGGGGAGGAGCCCAGAGCCUGAAUCAGUGUGUGUGUUAGUGGAAGCGUCUGGAAAGGCGCGCGAUACAGGGUGACAGCCCCGUACACAAAAAUACACAUAUUGUGAGCUCGAUGAGUAGGGCGGGACACGUGGUAUCCUGUCUGAAUAUGGGGGGACCAUCCUCCAAGGCUAAAUACUCCUGACUGACCGAUAGUGAACCAGUACCGUGAGGGAAAGGCGAAAAGAACCCCGGCGAGGGGAGUGAAAAAGAACCUGAAACCGUGUACGUACAAGCAGUGGGAGCACGCUUAGGCGUGUGACUGCGUACCUUUUGUAUAAUGGGUCAGCGACUUAUAUUCUGUAGCAAGGUUAACCGAAUAGGGGAGCCGAAGGGAAACCGAGUCUUAACUGGGCGUUAAGUUGCAGGGUAUAGACCCGAAACCCGGUGAUCUAGCCAUGGGCAGGUUGAAGGUUGGGUAACACUAACUGGAGGACCGAACCGACUAAUGUUGAAAAAUUAGCGGAUGACUUGUGGCUGGGGGUGAAAGGCCAAUCAAACCGGGAGAUAGCUGGUUCUCCCCGAAAGCUAUUUAGGUAGCGCCUCGUGAAUUCAUCUCCGGGGGUAGAGCACUGUUUCGGCAAGGGGGUCAUCCCGACUUACCAACCCGAUGCAAACUGCGAAUACCGGAGAAUGUUAUCACGGGAGACACACGGCGGGUGCUAACGUCCGUCGUGAAGAGGGAAACAACCCAGACCGCCAGCUAAGGUCCCAAAGUCAUGGUUAAGUGGGAAACGAUGUGGGAAGGCCCAGACAGCCAGGAUGUUGGCUUAGAAGCAGCCAUCAUUUAAAGAAAGCGUAAUAGCUCACUGGUCGAGUCGGCCUGCGCGGAAGAUGUAACGGGGCUAAACCAUGCACCGAAGCUGCGGCAGCGACGCUUAUGCGUUGUUGGGUAGGGGAGCGUUCUGUAAGCCUGUGAAGGUGUGCUGUGAGGCAUGCUGGAGGUAUCAGAAGUGCGAAUGCUGACAUAAGUAACGAUAAAGCGGGUGAAAAGCCCGCUCGCCGGAAGACCAAGGGUUCCUGUCCAACGUUAAUCGGGGCAGGGUGAGUCGACCCCUAAGGCGAGGCCGAAAGGCGUAGUCGAUGGGAAAC